GUAAAGGCCAGGAUGAUGGCCACCCAACCAAUGAUGUAGGACCAGGAGAAACGCCAGGACGUGAAGCGUUUGCCAAAGAACGUCACUGUCACGCCGGUAUAAAUUGCCAACGCCAGAAGUGCAAGAAAUCCUGAGAUCAAAUGAUUUCCCUGGGUUUUCACUGUUACCUGACAGAACCAGGGCGAUGCCACCGGUGCGGAUUCUCCUGUUCUUGGAUCCGUUGGUGAAGGCACUGAGACCCAGAACAACGCCUGAGAAACAGCUGAGUACUGCCAGUAACAUGAAGGCCCGGGUGGCGUCCCAGAAAGCUGGACGGGGGAGAGAGAGAGAGAAGUGUUUUCUCAACUGCUGGGUCGUGGGUCAAAUGUGGUGAGUUCAUGUGCAGGGGCCUUCAGUCCAUAGGAUGACGGUUCGGUCCGCGGACGAGGAGAGGAAGGUGCGGUCGUGUGGAUGCCAUCUGCACUGGAUCACCUUGUCCAAGUGUUCUCCUGCCAAUGUCUGGGGCAGGGGCUUGGUCACUGAUGAUGAUCUUGUUGUCAUAGGAACCAGUCAGAAGGUGAUGAGCUCCUGGUGAGAAGCGUACGGAGCGGACGUCGCUGCCGUGGGGCCGGUACGUCUGCACGACUCUUCCUCCUCUGAUGUCAUAC